rnacentral:rRNA from 1 species
UACGUAGGGUGCGAGCGUUAAUCGGAAUACUGGGCGUAAAGCGUGCGCAGGCGGUGAUGUAAGACAGAUGUGAAAUCCCCGGGCUCAACCUGGGAACUGCAUUUGUGACUGCAUCGCUGGAGUGCGGCAGAGGGGGAUGGAAUUCCGCGUGUAGCAGUGAAAUGCGUAGAUAUGCGGAGGAACACCGAUGGCGAAGGCAAUCCCCUGGGCCUGCACUGACGCUCAUGCACGAAAGCGUGGGGAGC